UCCUGAUUGAAUGAGCUGUGCCCUGAAGGAUUGCAGGGCGCUGAACGGCUUUUCCUUGUCGACCAGCCAAUGCGGUCUGGGGGGGCAGAGUUAUUGAGAGGUGAAGCCCAGUGAAGAAAGGAGAUGAAAACUCUGGGUCUGGACCAGAUGAGGAAAGAAAUCAAGUAAUUGGACAGGGUGGUAUAUCAUGCAAUUUGAUAUACUUCGAGUUGUUAUUUUUGAAUUAUGCAAAUGUGCUACAGAAAGGUUUACAGAAGGAGAACAACUUCCUUUCACUGGCAGAGUUAAGCAGAAUUGGCUAAACAGUGAAGUCUCCAGAAAGACGGUGUGGCAAGGCAGCUGGGAGUUAAAACAACAGCUACAUUUUUUACUACAGAAGAGGUACUAUGAGGAAAUGGAAAUUUAGAAAGCAAAAGCCUAUGUUUUCAAAGGACAACAUGCAGAAGCAUCUUUGUGCACAGUUUCUGCCUUGCUCAGGGAAACUGAAGUCUUGUGAAGUACCUGCUAAAGCUUCAACACUCUGAAGGUGCGGUGGGAUGAAAGUGUGGCGGACCUGAGCACUACAGCAUCUGAAAUGAAAAGAUGGUGUUCCCUGCUUUGGCUGUUUUUCUGUUUUUACCCUCUUUUCCACACUUCCAACCAAAGAUGUGGACAUCUAUUUCAGGCAUUCAUUUCUAGUUAUUUUAUUAUUAAAAAGACACCGAAUGCCGUG